UUUUUUGAAGUAGACAUAGUGGUAGGAGUCUGGAUGUGUUCGGGUUUUCAGUUUUUGCAUGAUUCUGAAGGCUUGGGAAUGGCCAGGCCCACGCGGUUUUUGCCUUGCAGAGGUAGCCCAGUCCAUUAUGGACCUCACCAGUAACGCAGCUCACAUCACCGACAUCCUUGUAGGAUUCCAUUCACCUGCCCCAACUUCAAGAAGAGCAAUGAGGGAGGUAUGCAGUUCUGAUGCGUCAAGGCAUUGACUCUUCAAGACCUCUGAAUGAAUCCUGUGGUAUCUGACACCAAGACAUUAGCAACAGAUUAUUUAAGUCCUGCAAGUUGCGAGGUGGGGCCUCCAUGGUUUGAAUUUCUCAUAGAGAAGUCAUUGGUUGGACCAUUUACCCGACUCAGAGCACAUGUGAAUUCUCUGAGUAGGAAAUGGAGAGGGAGGGCAGGAGAAACUUAAAAUAUCGGAUGGGAUAUGGAGGUAGGAGGACUACAAUUAAGAAGUGUGGGAUGGAGGGGGAAAUUUCUACGCCUGUGAGCAGUGUGCAGUGUUAGCUAAAAACAUACGUUUUUAGACACAAAAUUGACAUUGGCAGCCCGGAACAGAGUUGAAGAGGGAAGAGCCCUUUCCCUAAACACCAGACAACACUUAGUGAAGGGUAACAUACACACACUUUAUUGGGACACAGGCAUAUAUUUAUAGAGACAAUCACAUCAGGGGGUCAUUAACUAGCUGGGAUAUAACUCGAUUAACCGUGAAUGAUUUUAUUAACUGCACCUUACAAAAGUAACCUCAAAACAUAACUUUCCCCAACCGUAGAUCUUUAUAUAUAUAUCCCCAGACAGGGCCAAUACUCACAAGCAAAACGUCCAAUGUCUCUGUGCGCUUUGAUGGUCCUUCAACUUCGCCUUCUUCCUUCCAAUUAGUGCUCGACUGGGUAACUGAUCGGCAAUGAAUUUAAAUUGCUCUACGUAGCCAUCUUGUACUUAUGCGAUUAAGAGUUCCAAGUGGUUAUCGCCUGGUCCCGCUAGAGGCGUUGUGUAUUCCCCGGUCCCAUAGAAGAGCCCCAGGGAUGAAGAUUAGAGCUGGAGUGGAUGUGAUAAGGAAAAGAG